ACAAGCGGUGGAUGAUGUGGAUUAAUUCGAUGCAACGCGAAGAACCUUACUACCCUUGACAUGUCCGGAACUUGCCAGAGAUGGCUUGGUGCCCGAAAGGGAAUCGGAACACAGGUGCUGCAUGGCUGUCGUCAGCUCGUGUCGUGAGAUGUUGGGUUAAGUCCCGCAACGAGCGCAACCCUUAUCAUUAGUUGCUACGCAAGGGCACUCUAAUGAGACUGCCGGUGACAAACCGGAGGAAGGUGGGGAUGACGUCAAGUCCUCAUGGCCCUUAUGGGUAGGGCUUCACACGUCAUACAAUGGUCGGUACAGAGGGUUGCCAAGCCGCGAGGCGGAGCCAAUCCCACAAAGCCGAUCGUAGUCCGGAUUGUUCUCUGCAACUCGAGAGCAUGAAGCCGGAAUCGCUAGUAAUCGCAGGUCAGCAUACUGCGGUGAAUACGUUCCCGGGUCUU
rnacentral:rRNA from 1 species